rnacentral:rRNA from 1 species
CUAGUAUAAGCAUCUAUACAGUGAAACUGCGAAUGGCUCAUUAAAUCAGUUAUCGUUUAUUUGAUAGUACCUUACUACUUGGAUAACCGUGGUAAUUCUAGAGCUAAUACAUGCUAAAAACCUCGACUUCGGAAGGGGUGUAUUUAUUAGAUAAAAAACCAAUGCCCUUCGGGGCUCCUUGGUGAUUCAUGAUAACUUAACGAAUCGCAUGGCCUUGUGCCGGCGAUGGUUCAUUCAAAUUUCUGCCCUAUCAACUUUCGAUGGUAGGAUAGUGGCCUACCAUGGUUUCAACGGGUAACGGGGAAUUAGGGUUCUAUUCCGGAGAGGGAGCCUGAGAAACGGCUACCACAUCCAAGGAAGGCAGCAGGCGCGCAAAUUACCCAAUCCCGACACGGGGAGGUAGUGACAAUAAAUACUGAUACAGGGCUCUUUUGGGUCUUGUAAUUGGAAUGAGUACAAUUUAAAUCCCUUAACGAGGAACAAUUGGAGGGCAAGUCUGGUGCCAGCAGCCGCGGUAAUUCCAGCUCCAAUAGCGUAUAUUAAAGUUGUUGCAGUUAAAAAGCUCGUAGUUGAACCUUGGGCCUGGUUGGUCGGUCCGCCUCGCGGCGUGCACUGAUCCGACCGGGCCUUUCCUUCUGGGGAACCGCAUGCCCUUCAUUGGGUGUGUUGGGGAUCCAGGACUUUUACUUUGAAAAAAUUAGAGUGUUCAAAGCAGGCAUAUGCUCGAAUACAUUAGCAUGGAAUAAUAGAAUAGGACGUGUGGUUCUAUUUUGUUGGUUUCUAGGACCGCCGUAAUGAUUAAUAGGGAUAGUCGGGGGCAUCAGUAUUCCGUUGUCAGAGGUGAAAUUCUUGGAUUUACGGAAGACUAACUACUGCGAAAGCAUUUGCCAAGGAUGUUUUCAUUAAUCAGUGAACGAAAGUUAGGGAUCGAAGACGAUCAGAUACCGUCGUAGUCUUAACCAUAAACUAUGCCGACUAGGGAUCGGGCGAUGUUAUC